GUCUUUGUGGGUGUUUAAUAUAAAGUCUGACCUGCCCAUUGAUAUAAAAUUAAAAGGCCGCGGUAUAAUGACCGUGCGAAGGUAGCAUAAUAAUUUGUCUUUUAAUUGAAGGCUAGUAUGAAUGGUUGAACAAAAGGCUAACUGUCUCUUAAAUAAAGCUUGAAGUUAACAUUUAAGUGAAAAGGCUUAAAUAAUCUAGAGGGACGAUAAGACCCUAUAAAUCUUUAUACUUUGGUUUAUACGGUUGAAGGUUAGGUUACUAUUUAAUUUUAUAAAGUUAAGUAUUUUGUUGGGGUGACAGGGGCAUAAGAGUAAAUAACUGCCUUAGAGUUAGAGUUAAAAAUAUUUAAUUUAUUAAGUGAUCCUUUAGUAGAGAAUAUAGAUUAAGUUACUUUAGGGAUAACAGCGUAAUUUCUCUUGAGAGUUCAUAUCGAAAGGGGAGGUUGCGACCUCGAUGUUGAAUUAAAGAUCCUUUAUGGUGCAGAAGUUAUAUGAGGAGGUCUGUUCGACCUUUAAAUCUUUACAUGAUUUGAGUUCAAACCGGCGUGAG
rnacentral:rRNA from 1 species